rnacentral:tRNA from 1 species
GCGGUGAUCGUACAGUGGUUAGUAUUCAGCCCUGUGGAGGCUGAGAUCCGAGUUCGAUUCUCGGUCACCGCCCCA